CGGAAGGAUCAUUAAUGAAAUUCAAGGACGCUCUUUUUAGAGGUCCGACCAAUUACAUUUUACCUUUACUCUGUGCACACACUACUCUUUACACCAUUUUUUAACUCUAUAGUUUUAAGAAUGUAAAACAAGUCUCGAAAGAGCAACAUAACAAAACAAAACUUUCGGCAACGGAUCUCUUGGCUCUCGCAUCGAUGAAGAACGCAGCGAAAUGCGAUACGUAAUGUGAAUUGCAGAAUUCAGUGAAUCAUCGAAUCUUUGAACGCACCUUGCACUCUUUGGUAUUCCGAAGAGUAUGUCUGUUUGAGUGUCAUGAAACUCUCAACCCCCUCAUUUUGUAAUGAAGUGAGUCGUGGGCUUGGAUUAUGGCUGUCUGUCGGCUUCAUUGCCGGCUCAGCUGAAAUACACGAGUAACCCAGUUUGAAAAACUGACGGCUUGACUCGGCGUAAUAAUUAUUAUCGCUGAGGACGUCUAACCUUCAAAUCGUUAGUGGUGCUUCUAAUGCAAAUCAUUUUAAGAUUUAGACCUCAAAUCAGUCAGGAUUACCCGCUGAACUUAAGCAUAUCAAUAAGCGGAGGAAAAGAAACUAACAAGGAUUCCCCUAGUAACGGCGAGUGAAGUGGGAAAAGCUCAACUUUAAAAUCUGGCAGCUUCGCUGUCCGAGUUGUAGUCUCGAGAAGCGUCUUCCGCGC
rnacentral:rRNA from 1 species